UGAGUAACACGUGGGUAACCUGCCCAUCAGAAGGGGAUAACACUUGGAAACAGGUGCUAAUACCGUAUAACACUAUUUUCCGCAUGGAAGAAAGUUGAAAGGCGCUUUUGCGUCACUGAUGGAUGGACCCGCGGUGCAUUAGCUAGUUGGUGAGGUAACGGCUCACCAAGGCAACGAUGCAUAGCCGACCUGAGAGGGUGAUCGGCCACACUGGGACUGAGACACGGCCCAGACUCCUACGGGAGGCAGCAGUAGGGAAUCUUCGGCAAUGGACGAAAGUCUGACCGAGCAACGCCGCGUGAGUGAAGAAGGUUUUCGGAUCGUAAAACUCUGUUGUUAGAGAAGAACAAGGAUGAGAGUAAAAUGUUCAUCCCUUGACGGUAUCUAACCAGAAAGCCACGGCUAACUACGUGCCAGCAGCCGCGGUAAUACGUAGGUGGCAAGCGUUGUCCGGAUUUAUUGGGCGUAAAGCGAGCGCAGGCGGUUUCUUAAGUCUGAUGU
rnacentral:rRNA from 1 species